rnacentral:rRNA from 1 species
GUGGGGAAUAUUGGACAAUGGGGGGAACCCUGAUCCAGCCAUGCCGCGUGUGUGAAGAAGGCCUUUUGGUUGUAAAGCACUUUAAGCGAGGAGGAGGCUACCGAGAUUAAUACUCUUGGAUAGUGGACGUUACUCGCAGAAUAAGCACCGGCUAACUCUGUGCCAGCAGCCGCGGUAAUACAGAGGGUGCAAGCGUUAAUCGGAUUUACUGGGCGUAAAGCGCGCGUAGGUGGCCAAUUAAGUCAAAUGUGAAAUCCCCGAGCUUAACUUGGUAAUUGCAUUCGAUACUGGUUGGCUAGAGUAUGGGAGAGGAUGGUGGAAUUCCAGGUGUAGCGGUGAAAUGCGUAGAGAUCUGGAGGAAUACCGAUGGCGAAGGCAGCCAUCUGGCCUAAUACUGACACUGAGGUGCGAAAGCAUGGGGAGCAAACAGGAUUAGAUACCCGGGUAGUCC